rnacentral:misc_RNA from 1 species
UCUAGAGUGCGGCCCUGUUCUUUAUUUUCAUGUGUAGUACUCACGUCUGUGGUACAGAGGGCGACACAGAUGGCUGAAAGUUGGUUUCACACUAUGCGAAUGUCAUGCAGAUCAUCUGUUUACAGUCAAUAUUGAAUAUAGAAGAUCCUGUAUUUGUGUUUUGAUUAUUUUGUGCGAAGUUUAAAUAAGGUAGAAGCACUGAAUACUGAAUUUCUAGCGUUUGUAAUUGAUCAAUAAUGGGAGAUCGUGAGGCUCCAAACAGUGAUCAGGAUGAUCAAAAUGGUUUGGCCGAAGUGGAAAAUGGUCAUAUCACAGACUCCAAUUCUCCUGCAGGAGAGAGCAGUUCUGGGGAUGACGAUUUAGGGUUAGUGAAUAUUUCAACUGGAGAAUAUGAUAUGGAUUUGCCUACAACUCAUGGGUAUCUUGGGAAACUAAACCCUCUAAGUGGAUACACUUUAUUUGAGGAUGGCGAGGUAUUACAUAACAUUUUCGCACUAUUUACUGACACUUUAGUCUUUCCCGGAUUCACUCUUCCCUUAGUAAUGAACGAUUAUUUCGAAAAUAGAGUUUUCAAGAAUUUUAUCGAUGAGCAUAAUAACGUGUUUGUGUUGCUAUGUGCCAAAUCCCCUGAUAAAGGUUUAAUAGAGUAUGGAGUUACGAUGGAAAUUUUCGAAACCAGCCUAAGAAAUAAUAUGUUACAUAUUAAGGCGAAGGGGCGACAACGAUGCGAGAGAAUAUCAUCCUCUAAUGUGGAAAAUGUAGCUGGAAGAAUUAGACUCGUAACAGUUAAAAUUCUGGGUGACCCGCCAAUUAAGCCUCCCUUAGAAAACACACAACUUUUAGCACUAAAAAGUAAAAGGAAAUGGAAUUUGAACUCUUUUGAUGAAUUGAAAAGUUGUGUAAAAUUCAGAAGGUACCAUGCUGCACAGUUUCGUUUUGCCAACUGGGUGUACGAUUUAAACGAAGUGACUUAUUAUACCCAAAUCAUUCUGCAGGCCCUGACUAAUUAUGGAAAAGACUUGAUUCCGAAUGAUCCCGAGCGACUGUCGUACUGGUUUGUUCAGAACUAUUUGCUAAAACCUUUGGAAAGGAUUCGAAUAUUGAGUGCUAAAAGUACAUUGGAGAGAUUAAAAUUAGAAGUCAAUUAUUUAAGAUUGGAUAGACUCAUAUGUUGUUAUAAUUGCCGAUAUGAAAUCACGUAUCCUUCCAAAAUAUUUGCCAUGUCGAAAGACGGCCUCCAAAGCAAUUAUGUGAAUCCUGGUGGAUUUGUAUAUGAAAUUAUCACAGUCUCGUGUGCGAACAACAUUCGACUUGCCGGCGAUGCAUCACGACAAUUUUCUUGGUUUCCGGGCUACGCUUGGACAGUAAUUGAAUGUAUAAACUGUAACAACCACAUAGGGUGGCAAUUUACCAGCAACAAUUUGACGCCCAAGAAAUUCUUCGGUCUGGCACAUACUGGAAUCAGAAUUGUAUCGGCUGCUCCUGCUCUAGAUAAGCAGGAUCCAACUGGUCAUACGACAUAUGCCUAUGAUUAUUACGGAUUGUCAGAUUCGUUUAAUUGAUAAACGUCGCAUUUUUCGGCCUGUGAUAUUGGCUACUUUGGAAUAAAAUCCUACGCAUCACCCAAACCAUACAUACCCACGAUUGCGAUUGCGGCCGAUGGCACCACCGAAACCGUACCUAACGACUAUUUAUUUUAUGAUGCAUUUUAUAUCGUAGUUUGUCAAUAAACACAUUUAUAAGUGUA